GAUGAACGCUGGCGGCGUGCCUAAUACAUGCAAGUCGAGCGAACAGACGAGGAGCUUGCUCCUCUGACGUUAGCGGCGGACGGGUGAGUAACACGUGGAUAACCUACCUAUAAGACUGGGAUAACUUAGGGAAACCGGAGCUAAUACCGGAUAAUCUAUUGAACCGCAUGGUUCAAUAGUGAAAGACGGUUUUGCUGCCCCUUAGAGAUGGAUCCGCGCCGCAUUAGCUAGUUGGUAAGGUAACGGCUUACCAAGGCAACGAUGCGUAGCCGGCCUGAGAGGAUGAUCGGCCACACUGGAACUGAGACACGGUCCAGACUCCUACGGGAGGCAGCAGUAGGGAAUCUUCCGCAAUGGGCGAAAGCCUGACGGAGCAACGCCGCGUGAGUGAUGAAGGUCUUCGGAUCGUAAAACUCUGUUAUUAGGGAAGAACAAAUGUGUAAGUAACUAUGCACGUCUUAACGGUACCUAAUCAGAAAGCCACGGCUAACUACGUG
rnacentral:rRNA from 1 species